AGCCACAUUUGAUGAUACUAUCAUUCUGAAUUUCACAAUGUGUGACCCAUCAGAAGAAGAAGCCACUGCUGAAGGAAGUCAGCCUAAAAGGCCAUGUCACAUAAAUUAUGAGGCGCAAGCGUUGAUUGGAAAAAUCUUGACAACAAAGUCUGGUGGUGAGCGCAUCAUGCAAGAGAAUGCAAGAACUAAAUGCUUGACAGAUGCAACCAGAAGACAGAUGAUAAACAUCCUUACAGCUGUAAUGAAAGAAGCACAUGGUUUAGUGUCUCAUUGUUGGAUCAGAUCUUCAGAUCAUCCCCUCCUAAAAGCGUCAGUCAUGUACGCUCAGGGGAUCGUUGCCCUAUUUCCCUAUCUGGAGGACCCGUUUUCAA